rnacentral:sRNA from 1 species
UAUUGAUGGCACAUGAAUUCCGAUGAC